rnacentral:rRNA from 1 species
GCGGCGUGGAUAAGACAUGCAAGUCGAAGGGCAGCAGAGGAAGCUUGCUUCCUGCUGGCGACUGGCGGACGGGUGAGUAACACGUGAGUAACCUGCCGGAAAGUGGGGGAUAGCUCGAGGAAACUCGAAUUAAUACCGCAUGUGGCUAUGUUUCGCAUGGGAUAAUAGCUAAAGGUUUUUCGCUUUCUGAGGGGCUCGCGGCCUAUCAGCUUGUUGGUGGGGUAACGGCCUACCAAGGCAGCGACGGGUAGCUGGUCUGAGAGGAUGGUCAGCCACACUGGAACUGAGACACGGUCCAGACACCUACGGGUGGCAGCAGUCGAGAAUCAUUCGCAAUGGGGGAAACCCUGACGAUGCGACGCCGCGUGGAGGAUGACGGCCCUAGGGUUGUAAACUCCUGUCAAGAGGGAAUAACACAAUGAAGGUACCUCUAGAGGAAGGGGCGGCUAAUUCCGUGCCAGCAGCCGCGGUAACACGGAAGCCCCGAGCGUUGUUCGGAUUUAUUGGGCGUAAAGGGUGCGUAGGCGGCGCGGUAAGUCUGGUGUGAAAGGCGGGGGCUCAACCCCUGGAUUGCAUUGGAUACUGCCGUGCUUGAGGACUGGAGAGGAGAGUGGAAUUCACGGUGUAGCAGUGAAAUGCGUGGAUAUCGUGAGGAAGACCAGCGGCGAAGGCGACUCUCUGGACAGUAUCUGACGCUGAGGCACGAAGGCUGGGGGAGCGAACAGGAUUAGAUACCCUGGUAGUCCCAGCAGUAAACGGUGUGAGCUUGAUGUGGGGGGAUUCGACCCCCUCCGUGUCGAAGCUAACGCGAUAAGCUCACCGCCUGGGAAGUACGGCCGCAAGGCUAAAACUCAAAGAAAUUGACGGGGACCCGCACAAGCGGUGGAGUAUGUGGCUUAAUUCGAUGCAACGCGAAGAACCUUACCUGGCCUUGACAUGCAUCUCUAAGCCGGUGAAAGCCGGUGAAUUUGCCGAAAGGUAAAUAAUUUGCACAGGUGCUGCAUGGCUGUCGUCAGCUCGUGUCGUGAGAUGUUGGGUUAAGUCCCGCAACGAGCGCAACCCCUGUGGUUAGUUGUCAGCACGUAAAGGUGGACCCUCUAGCCAGACUGCCCUGUUCAACGGGGAGGAAGGUGGGGACGACGUCAAGUCAGUAUGGCCCUUAUGGCCAGGGCUGCACACGUACUACAAUGCACGGUACAAUGUGAACCGAAACCGCGAGGUGGAGGAAAUCUAACAAAACCGUGCCCAGUUCGGAUCGCAGGCUGCAACUCGCCUGCGUGAAGUCGGAAUCGCUAGUAAUGGCGCAUCAGCUACGGCGCCGUGAAUACGUUCCCGGGUCUUGUACACACCGCCCGUCACAUCAUGGAAGUCACCUGUACCCGAAGC